GUUCUUCUUUCAAAAAGCCAAAGGUCAUUGCACUGCACACGUUGUAGAAAAUAAAUGAGUUUAUUUGUUACAUGUUUGAGAUGAUUGCUACCAAGUCGGAACAAGAACCUAAACAUUAAACAAGAGCUCUUCAUUAACCACACACAGAGCCUACGGUGAGCUAACAGAAUACUGGGCGUAGAAACUUUUCAGAGGACUUAUUCCACGCUUACUUCUUACCAUUUCAAAUGUCAGUCAUGUUGUGUUACUAUCUGAAUAAACCAAGGUACCUUAUUGUCUAAACGAUUAACAGUGAUCUUCAAACACUAGAUAGAGAAUAGCCCACAGCCAGGAGGACGCUUUGGGGAGUGAUUCUAUACAGGUUUCAUAUCCGGGCAGGACCACUUUACCCUUAAGUUCCCCUCAGCUCGAUGUACACAACACUUAAAACAAAACCACUUAAAACAAAACCACAGUUCAUGUGCAAAAGGCAGCGAACAAGAUGACCACCAAGCCAAACGAGAUGACCACCAACCCAAACGCGCCCUUGGAGAUCCACCACCACCAUGCUCCCAGUGAGGUCCUCAUCGCCGGCUGAUUCACAUGCACGCUGCUAGUGUGCACGUUAGCGUCUGUUCCUCACCUUCCACUUGACCAGCAGUACCUCCUCCGACCAGAAGGGGCUCCUUCCUGAACCUCUUCCUGGUUCGCUGGUUUGGGUUCAAGUCUCACAGGGGGAGUCUGUUAAAAAUGGCAUUGCGAUAAAGAAAGAUACGAAUAAAGAACUGAUCCGUUGAAUCCACUCGAGAGAGCCGGGUGGGCCUCUGAGUGAGGAAGUUCUUGGGGAGGUUGUGGGCAUGUCCACGCAGACCCAGGUGUGACGGACAGAAACAUGUGACCAGGAAGUCAGUGCCUCAUCACAGGCUUAAAACUUAAACCUAAAAACCAAACAUAGAAAUUAGAAAAUAAACUGAACUCUUGUUGCAUAAGUUGUAGGCCAGAAGGGGUUUGAAUACACAAACAUGACUUAGGUUAUACCGAGUAUGACGAGAAUUUAAGCAAACUUAACAGGUGUGUCGGGAACAGGUAUCUAAUGCAACGUUAUCUCCUCCGAGGACGCCAUUUUGGCGGGGGUCCUCAAAGUUUUCUAACACUUAUGCCAGCUCUACAACUUUAAAGUCCUCAAACUCUUAAGCUAGCUUGUUAAGAUAAAGGUCCUCAAACUCUUAAGCUAUCUUGUCAAGAUGAAGGUCUCCAGAAUCUUCCCAGGAUGGCUCCAAACCGUUUCACCACGGUUUUCCGUCGCAAAUAGAAACUGCUUAGAAAAGGGUUUUGCCAAAACAUUGAAAACAUGAAGGAGUAUUUACAUCCCACGAAAGACGUCUGUGAUCAAGGUUGAAGUAACAUCUGCUAAGGUAAAGACAUUUGAGAAGAAUCAAUGUCUAUAGAUUUGAAGUAUAAAUAUUAAUUCAUUUACAAUGUGUUUGUACACUACUAUAUAACCUCUAUGAUUUCUCGUGUGCAGAUCAGGUACACAGGCAAUACGUUUAGUAAAAAAUAUAUGCUCUUUCUGUUGACGAAUACCAUCUUAUUAACGUCACCCUGCAGGCGGGAGCCCAGGAGGAGACCAGCGUCUACAACAGCACCCAGGGGUGCUACAGCAGCACCCAGUGUCUACAGCAGCACCCAGUGUCUACAGCAGCACCCAGGAGGAGACCAGUGUCUAGGAGGAGACCCAGGGUGCUACAGCAGCACCCAGGAGGAGACCCCAGUGUCUACAGCAGCACCCAGGGGUGCUACAGCAGCACCCAGUGUCUACAGCAGCACCCAGGGGUGCUACAGCAGCACCAGUGUCUACAGCAGCACCCAGUGUCUACAGCAGCACCCAGGGGUGCUACAACAGCACCCAGGAGGAGACCAGCGUCUACAGCAGCACCCAGGAGGAGACCAGUGUCUACAGCAGCACCCAGGGGUGCUACAACAGCACUCAGAGUCUACAGCAGCACCCAGGGUUGCUACAGCAGCACCCAGAGUCUACAGCAGCACCCAGAGUCUACAGCAGCACCCAGUGUCUACAGCAGCACCCAGAGUCUACAGCAGCACCCAGAGUCUACAGCAGCACCCAGAGUCUACAGCAGCACCCAGAGUCUACAGCAGCACCCAGUGUCUACAGCAGCACCCAGUGUCUAGAGCAGCACCCAGACAGCAUCCAGUGUCUACAGCAGCACCCAGGGGUGCUACAGCAGCACCCACCCAGAGUCUACAGCAGCACCCACCCAGUGUCUACAGCAGCACCCACCCAGAGUCUACAGCAGCACCCAGAGUCUACAGCAGCACCCAGAGUCUACAGCAGCACCCACCCAGUGUCUACAGCAGCACCCACCCAGAGUCUACAGCAGCACCCAGUCUGCAGCCGUCCACCGUGGAGCCUUCACUACCAUCAGAGGCAUCUAUCCAAAGGGACUGACCGCAGGUCAUUAAGGAGAGGGAGGGGUCCGGGGGAGGGGUCAGGGGUCAUUAAGGAGAGGGAGGGGUCAGGGGUCAUUAAGGAGAGGGAGGGGUCAGGGGUCAUGAAGGAGAGGGGGGGGUCCGGGAGGGGUCAUUAAGGAGAGGGAGGGGUCAAGGGUCAUUAAGGAGAGGGAGGGGUCAGGGGUCAUUAAGGAGAGGGAGGGGUCAGGGGUCACUAAGGAGAGGGAGGGGUCAGGGGUCAUUAAGGAGAGGGAGGGGUCAGGGGUCAUUAAGGAGAGGGAGGGGUCGGGGGAGGGGUCAGGGGUCAUGAAGGAGAGGGAGGGGUCAGGGGGACGGGUCAGGGGUCAUUAAGGAGAGGGAGGG
ensembl:lncRNA